rnacentral:rRNA from 1 species
ACUCCUACGGGAGGCAGCAGUGGGAAUAUUGCACAAUGGGCGCAAGCCUGAUGCAGCAACGCCGCGUGAGGGACGACGGCCUUCGGGUUGUAAACCUCUUUUAGCAGGGAAGAAGCGAAAGUGACGGUACCUGCAGAAAAGCACCGGCUAACUACGUGCCAGCAGCCGCGGUAAUACGUAGGGUGCAAGCGUUGUCCGGAAUUAUUGGGCGUAAAGAGCUCGUAGGCGGUCUGUCGCGUCUGCUGUGAAAACCCGAGGCUCAACCUCGGGCCUGCAGUGGGUACGGGCAGACUAGAGUGCGGUAGGGGAGAUUGGAAUUCCUGGUGUAGCGGUGGAAUGCGCAGAUAUCAGGAGGAACACCGAUGGCGAAGGCAGAUCUCUGGGCCGUAACUGACGCUGAGGAGCGAAAGCGUGGGGAGCGAACAGGA